rnacentral:tRNA from 1 species
ACCGGCGUAGCUCAGUUGGUAGAGCGACGGUCUCCAAAACCGCAGGUCGCAGGUUCGAUUCCUGCCGCCGGUGCCA